AAUAUAGUACUAUGAAAUGUUUCUGACCCAAAAUAUUACGAAAUAUGAUUGUUUACAUUAAAAUGCAAAAGUUGAUGAAAAAGGAUGAUAAGGUGAAAAAAGUGACAUUUUAUGUCUAGAAAGUCAGUUUUCAUCAAAAGUGCAAUAACAAAACUAAUUCCCAUUCAUCCCGUGUCCCCAUACACACUUGUGCUCUUUAUCCGCUCAAAACGCUAUACAGCGAACGAGAAGGCGCUAGGAGCAAAGGAAAGUGGUUUUUCUAACAAACUCAUAUAAUCAGUUGCCCGACCUACUCCAAUUUGAUUCUUUUCACAUAUUUAGACAUAAUAUAGUACUAUGAAAUGUUUCUGACCCAAAAUAUUACGAAAUAUGAUUGUUUACAUUAAAAUGCAAAAGUUGAUGAAAAAGUAUGAUAAGGUGAAAAAAGUGACAUUUUAUGUCUAGAAAGUCAGUUUUCAUCAAAAGUGCAAUAACAAAACUUGUUCCCAUUCAUCCUGUGUCUCCAUGCACACUUGUGCUCUUUAUCCGCUCAAAACGCUAUACAGCGAACGAGAAGGCGCUAGGAGCAAAGGAAAGUGGUUUUUCUAACAAACUCAUAUAAUCAGUUGCCCGACCUACUCCAAUUUGAUUUUUUUCACAUAGUUAGACAUAAUAUAGUACUAUGAAAUGUUUCUGACCCAAAAUAUUACGAAAUAUGAUUGUUUACCUUAAAAUGCAAAAGUUGAUGAAAAAGUAUGAUAAGGUGAAAAAAGUGACAUUUUAUGUCUAGAAAGUCAGUUUUCAUCAAAAGUGCAAUAACAAAACUAAUUCCCAUUCAUCCUGUGUCUCCUUACACACUUGUGCUCUUUAUCCGCUCAAAACGCUAUAGAGCGAACGAGAAGGCGCUAGGAGCAAAGGAAAGUGGUUUUUCUAACAAACUCAUAUAAUCAGUUGCCCGACCUACUCCAAUUUGAUUCUUUU
ensembl:lncRNA